CCCGGGCGAUAGAGCAAGACUCUAUGUCUCAAAAAAAAAAAAAAAAACUAUAUAUAGUUUUUUUCUGGCUAAAAAUCCAAGUGUAAUGGGGUGUGUGUGUAUAUAUAAUCUAUUGAAUAUAAUUCAAAUAGAUUUCUAGUAUUCUGAAAUUGUGUGUGUGUAGGUGUUUGUGUGUACAUAUAUAUGUAUUAUAUAUGUACAUACAUAUGUGUGUGUAUAUAUGUAUACAGACACCCCAUACAUACACUCAAAAAUGAAAAGAUCCGUGUCUGAUUCUUCUUCCUAUCCCUAAACACUGAUUCUACUCAAGAAUUCCUCUGGAGCCAGUAGUCCAGAAAUCGCAGCGUGUGGAACUGUAUAUGAUUACCUUGGGAAUGACUAGUAAAAGGAAGGGAAGGUGCAAUGAUAAAAGAUUAAAGCUGAGAUAAAUGGGGAGAUAAAACCUAGAUCAGGAGUGCAGAUUCAUUAACACCAUACUGUGCCUACUGUCCAUGGCUUACAUGGUUAUUGGGAUGUAUUCCUAGAUGUGGUGUAUCACCAGUGUGACCGGGCAUACUAGUUUACCCAUCGGAUAUGUUGGAGGUACCUGACCCUGUGCUUGACUCAGAAAUUCAGAGAACAGGAACUGUCUCAUUCUCACUCCAUUGUAUCCAGUGUGCUGCUUGGCACACCAGUAGGUAGUCAGUAAGUAUUUAUUAAAUAAAUGAGAUACUUAAUUUUGUUCUCUGUUGGUAGUUUGCCCUGGCACAUUUCUUUUUAUUUCUAUUAACCAAGGCAGGGUUAGGUGUUUUGUUUUGGUUUGGUUUUCCAUAUUUUUGAGGAUUAAUGAUAAAGCACUUAUCUUGUUGGAAUGAGAGUCUACUAACAAAUCCUGUACAUCAUAACAGAACUAUCGUCUAACUUUUUUUCUCAAUAAGUAAACUUUAAAACAACUUCCUUUAUUUUUUCAAAAGGAUACAUAGUCAUCUAUGUAACCAGUAACCAAUACUUGUCAGUGUUUUUUUAAAAUGUAGAUUAUUUUCCAUUUAGUUUGCUACCUACCUUAAAGCCCCUCUUCCUUCGAUCCUGAAUGCUGCUAGCUCUCCUUCUAAUUGGUCAUUCCCUCUUUCAAUUAAUGUUGCCCAAUUGUUUAGAUUUCUAUUAUGAAACACCGGUCCCAUUAAAUCUGAAAACACUGCUAUAGAGCAACAUUUCGUUAGACUGGUCUCACUACUUUCUGAAGAAUGGACCAUAUUCAUUCUCCAUUUAAUGCCCUUCUCCUCCCUAUACUGCCUGAGAAGUACCUCUUCCAAGAAGUCAUCGUCGACUACUCCAUCCUCAAUGCCUUAGGAUUUUCUCUCAAUGGUCUACAUCACUGACUUUCCACAUAGCUUAGCUGUUCCUAUGUCUUUCUCCCAAAUAAGUUUUCAUACCUUUGUUCUUCAACAUAGAUAGGGGCCUCUCAGCCUGAGGGAGACAGGUUAGCGAAUACCAAAAUACACGUGAUAUCAAAGAAGCAGUCCCAGGCCACUGGAGCUUACCAGUUGUUGAAUCCUUGCUUCUGCGAAUCCAUUGUUUUCAAAGUUGCUGGGUAGUUGCAAACUCCUUGAUACAUCUGCUGUGCUGUUGCAUCCUCCCUGCUGUCUAUCUCCCCUACAUAGGUACCACUGUCGCUAUGGUCACGGUACUGAGCACCAGGGUUGCUAGGUUGCACAACUUUAAGGGGGUGCCAUUCACAACCUGCCUGAUAUGAAUGGUGCUCCAUGGAAUUAUGCAUUGCAACAUCUGCACAUGAUCCUACCAAACACCAGAAAGUUCUACUCCAAUGGUGGGGGGCGCUAAUCCCUGGCUUGCUUAAAGAACCCACUUUUUUAUUGUGUAACAUUAUAUACUUUUCAGGACAUUUGACAAGAUAUGUUUAAGCAUUUGUUAACUUUGUAUUAUAAAAUAUGUGUGUUUAUUAAAAAAAGAUUAUCCCAAAAUAAAGAGAAAAUGUUGGCAGUAUUCUGUGGUGGCCUAA